CAGCCGCCGCGGUAAAACGGAGGGUGCAAGCGUUAAUCGGAAUUACUGGGCGUAAAGCGUGCGUAGGCGGCUUCUUAAGUCGGAUGUGAAAUCCCUGAGCUUAACUUAGGAAUUGCAUUCGAUACUGGGAAGCUAGAGUAUGGGAGAGGAUGGUAGAAUUCCAGGUGUAGCGGUGAAAUGCGUAGAGAUCUGGAGGAAUACCGAUGGCGAAGGCAGCCAUCUGGCCUAAUACUGACGCUGAGGUACGAAAGCAUGGGGAGCAAACAGGAUUAGAGACCCCUGUAGUCCCUGUCUCUUAUAC
rnacentral:rRNA from 1 species